AACAGGCUGGCACUGGAGGCUGCCGAGACUGACAGCUCAGCCACUGGUGCAAAGCGAACAUGUGACCACUUGGAAGAAAUAGAAAGUCUGCAGAACACAGUGGAAAGCCUGCAAGAAGAGCUUCGCGAGACUCGGGCUGAGCUCGCCCAAGCACGGCAGUGUAUUGAUGCUGCAAAAAUGGUCAAGCGACUAAUGCACAUGGUAGACAAAGCUGGCACUCCUGCAGAGGCUGUUGGCGUUGCACCGGCCCCAAAAGUAGACAUCGGUGACGGUGUGUACGUUGAAGAAGGCCUGCUUAUGAGGCUGCGCCUCGAUGCAAAUAAUUCAGGUUCACGGUUCGCGAGGGGCCUCCUUAAAG